ensembl:lncRNA
CUGAGAGCAUUUGUAACACAUGUAGCUGGUGAAGGACUUGUAUGCAGGACACAUAAAGCAUUACUACAGAUCAAUAGUAAAAAUCAACUCAAUUUUAAAAAACAAGCAAAGGGAACUGGCGCUGCGCUGUAGCAGGUUAAGCUUCUGCCUGUGGUGCUGGCAUCCCAUAUGGGUGCCGGUUCGAGUCCCGGCUGCUCCACUUCCGACCCAGCUCUCUGCUAUGGCCUGGGAAAGCAGUGGAGGAUGGCCCAUGUGCUUGGGUCCCUGCACCCAUAUGGGAGAUCCGGAAGGAGCUCCUGGCUCCUGGCUUCAGAUCAGCGCAGCUCCGGCCGUUGUGGCCAUCUGGGGAGUGACCCAGAGGAUGGAAGACCUCUCUCUUCUCUCUCUCUGCCUCUGCCUCUCUGUAACUCUUUCAAAUAAAUAAAUCUUUAAAAAGAAAAAAAAAAAGCAAGCAAAAGACUUGAAUGGCCAUUCACUAGAGAAGAUAUCUAAUCGACACGUAUUAUGGGGUUACCAGGGAGAUGCAAAUUAAAAUGGUGGUGAAACUCCACUUCAUGACCACCAGGAUGAACCACAGGAAAACUGACGCGCUCCAGGGAGAAUUCACACACGCCGGCACUGGGCAGGUGACACGAAGGUUACCCUCUGGGAAGCUGUCACUUCCUAACACGAUGAAACACACAGGUACCCACGACCCACACUUCCUCUCCCGGGAUCCACCCAGAGGAGGUGAAACCACCCACACACAGCCUCGAGGACCUGCACACACGGUCACGCUCUGCUCACCCAGCACCAAACCGCAAACAGUGCCGACCGACGUGAGCAGGAGAGAUGUGCACGCGGGACAGUGUUCAGUGGCUUACAUAAAAUACAGCACGAAUGCAUUUAAAAACAUCAAGUGGGAAGAGGCUACUGCAACCAAGCAGGCCGUGUGCCUGAACCGGUACAAACGCCAAGGCCAGGCGAGAGCUCACUACAGAGAUGAGAGCAGUCUCUACCCGGAACAAGACAACAAAUGAAUGUGCUCUUUAAGGUACUUCAAGGGUAACAAUGCCCACCACAGCCAGGCUGGGCCAAGGUGAAGUCAGGAGAGCAGAGCUGCACCCGGGAGGCCCGUGAACGGCCGAGACUCGAGUUCCCGAGCCAGCAAGUGCGCGGCAGCGGAAAGUGGAGCCGGGACUUCAGCCCAGGCCCUCAGCGCGGGCCGCGGGGGCCCCUCCCAGCCCCUCGGCCUUCCCGCAAGUCACCCUACAACAUCCGCCCCUUCUGACGGUGACUACGUGGUCGCACGGGGACCACGCUUCCGGAACAUGGGCUCUGAGGGGCCACGCCGCGCGCAAACCACAGCAACGGCUUCGCCUUCGCAUCGGGGCUUUCUCAGACGAAGGCCAAGAAGAGCAGAGGUCGCGCCCGUCUCCGCGGGGCGGCGGCGCUGCGGACCCCGCUUCGGGAGGCCCACGCUGCAGGCGCGGGGCCAGCUCCAGGGGCCGGUUUGAGGCACGCAUUCCAGCGUUCCCCUCGGCGCCCUGUCCGAUUCCGAGGCCGGCGGCUGCAAGAGGACUUCAGGUCUGAGGUCAGUGUCCUGGGCGAGGCGCUUGCUCGUGGUUAAGGCACGACAGUGAGGCAGCCCACUGCCAGCCCACUGCCAGCCCACUGCCAGCCCAGCCCUGCCACUUCCUUCCCCUGUUCCCACUGCCCGCCGGCUCCCUCUCACCUCACCCUCCAGCUCUGGGCACCGCCAGGGCCCGCGUCAGCUUCUGCAGCUUUGACCUCUGACUCCCCCCCUCUCUCCGCAGCCACGAUGUGGGCACCCUCGGGUUUCUGUUUCCCUUCUUUCCCCAGACUCACCUAGCGUCCCCUCCCACGUUAACUAACGGCAAUCACACUUAGCGGGAGUGUGUCACCCGUGGUCGUGGGGACCGCAUCGCCCCAGAAUGUAAUACAGAGCGCAUGUCCCCGGUGCCAUCAGCGGCACUACACACUUCAGCAUCCCCGGAGGUCGGUUCCAGGACCCCGAUA